rnacentral:lncRNA from 1 species
GCCACAUCAAGUGAACCACCUUUAGAACUAAGGCUCUCCUUGUGCAUAUAUGUGAACAAUUAGAACCUCUGGAUAUCAUAAAAGAUAAACUCAUUCAACCAAAUUAUUAAGUCUCAUAAUAAGCAAACAAUUACUUUGUUUAAGCAUCAUGUUUCUUUUUUAAUCAAAAAUUAGCAUUACAGUAUAAGCCAGAAGCCUGCAAGUCCCAGUAGCAUCUAGAUAC